UACAGAGGGUGCGAGCGUUGUCCGGAAUCACUGGGCGUAAAGGGCGCGUAGGCGGCUUCUCACGCGUGCGGUGAAAGCUCGGGGCUUAACUCCGAGUCUGCCGUGCGAACGGGGAGGCUUGAGUCUGGUAGAGGUCGAUGGAAUUCCGGGGUGUAGCGGUGGAAUGCGUAGAGAUCCGGAAGAACACCGAUGGCGAAGGCGGAUCUCUGGGCCUUACUGACGCUGAGGAGCGAAAGCGUGGGGAGCGAACAGG
rnacentral:rRNA from 1 species